rnacentral:lncRNA from 1 species
CACCAUCCUGCUGGCACCUCCGCCGUAGUGGGCAGCCUGUGGAAGGGCUUGUUUGCUCCGCCAUUUUUAGUGUUCUUCCUGAAUGGAAAGUGUGGCGUCAUCUGUCGACCAAAAAACUAAGCGGCCAUAGAGUCUGUAGUACACGCCCCAUAUCUUAUCUACCAUAAUGGAUGGCCCGUGAUUUAAACGGGCCGGAAAGAAUAAAAGACGCCUUUCUUCCGCUAACUGUCGCUUCGACGUCUAAAACCCGGCUAUUUAGCGCGGUGCAUCGGAUAAUUGAAGAAAGAAACAAUGGGUUCGGAUGAAAUAUAUUCAUUUUAAUUUAAUAUAUGUGUAGAAUAUUCAGCAGGCCGUACGACUUUUUGCUCGACAGAUGACACCAUUUUCCACGUACCAGAAUAUUCAGUGGCUGAACCCGGCCACCGGCUGCCUAACCUUACGGAGAAGUGACCGGAUAGUGGAGGACGGCCGAGCCCACCAUAAAUAUUUUCGAGGGGUUUGGAACCCGGGUCCUCCAGAGUGGAAAGCCCGAGCGUUUUCACGCCGUACGGUAGGGUGGCCAACCGUAUCGUUUUGACCCGAAGAUUCGGGGUUUGGCCACCAUGGUUCCAGCUUGGGUUUCAAAUAAAAUUAUUCGGGUUGUCUAAAAAUUAUAUCGGAUGGAUAAGAAGUUAAUUUUUUUUUAUAAACGUUAGUUAUUGUUACUUCACCUUCUAAAUAGGUAUUUAUGUG